UCAAAGGAAUGACAAUGACUAAAGAAGU
rnacentral:piRNA from 1 species